CCGUCUGCCAGAUAGCCUGCAUGUUUACAACGCAUGUUCAUAGUCAAUCUGCAAAUGGCUCAUUAAAACAGUGAUUGUUUGGUUGGGCUUUUUUCACAUGGAUAACAUUGGAAAUUCUAUUGCUAAUACAUGCACCACUCUCCAAUUUAAAAGGCGGGGAUGCUUAUUGGCUUCCAAACCUAUGCUGGCACUGUUGGCAUUCCAUGUUGAAUCACAAUAACCCUUGGAAUCGUAUGGCACAUGCCAUUGAUCACCCAUGUGAAUUUCUGACCUAUCACCUUCCGACGGUGAGAUUUGGGCUCCCCGUGGCAAUGACGGGUGACGGACAAUUAGGGUUUGAUUCCGGAGAGGGAGCCUGAGAGAUGGCUACUACAUCUAAGGAAGGCAGCAGGCGCGCAAAUUACCCAAUCUUGACAACAGGAGGUAGUGACAAGAACUAACAAUAUGGGGCAUCUGUGUCUUGUGAUUGGAAUGAAUUCAACCUAAAGAUGUGUUUGAGUAUCCAUUGGAGGGCAAGUCUGGUGCCACCACCCGCGGUAAUUCCAGCUCCAAUAGCGUAUAUUAAAGUUGCUGCACUUAAAAAGCUCGUAGUUGGAUAUCUGUGGAGAAGGCUGGCCUGCCCAUUGUGUGUGUACCUGGCUUAACUCUGGCAUUUGUUUGGGGAUCCCUGCUGCACUUGGUUGUGUGGCUAGGUAUUCCCAACAUUUACCUUGAGAAAAUCAAAGUGCUUAGGGCAGGCAUUUGCCAUGGAUACCUUAGCAUGGAAUAAUAUGACCAGCAUUGCUUUUGCUGGUUUCCAUACCAUGUAAUGAUGAACUGGGAACCAUUGGGGG
rnacentral:rRNA from 1 species